AUAUCGGUAAUCACCUGAACUAAGAAUAAUUUUAAAAAUUGUAAUUAAUGAAAAUAAAACAAAACAGAAAAAAGAAAUGAUCCUUUCAUGUCAACCUUAUGAAAGCAGAACAUACAGAUAUCUGCUUAUUCUAUACUUUGAAAAUCAUUGAGAAGCGCCACAGUUAAUAACAUUAAAAUAAAUCAAAACUUAAUUUUUUUUUUCUUCUUUUUAGGGCCACAUGAGCGGUGUAUGGAAUUUCCCAGGCUAGGGGUCAGUCGGAGCUGCAGCUGCCAUUCUAUGCCACAGCCACAGCAAAGCUGGAUCCUUAACCCACUGAGUCAGGCCAGGGAUCCAGCCAGCAUCCUCAUGGAUACUAGGUGGGGUUCGUUACUGCUGAGCUACAAUGGGAACUCCAAAACUUUAUCAAUAUUUAAAGCAUUAAACGAGGAAAUGUAAAGCAUUCUUCAGUUCAGUGGUAGAAAAGGUAUAAUGCUAGAUUUUAAAGAGAGAAAAAUUUUGGUUCUGCCCCAUAGUUGAUGUGCAAAGGGUGAACACGUUAAUAGUCACUAUUAUUCGAAAACUCUUGGUUAAAACCAGUUUUGAGUAUUGCCUCUCAGAAGAGUCGGAGUUGGUGUGACAGUGUGCACGGAUGGGGGAGGGGCAGCGAGUCACCUUGUAUGGGGCCGCCGAAGCCCUCUUCAACGUGGAGAUCUUGGUUUUGUGUGUUCUGGCCUUUUAAAUCACAACCUCUCCUCUGCACAGUGGACCUAGUAUUUGCAGGUCCUCCUUUGGACAGAAUUAUAGGUGGCCCAUGACGAGUUUCUCUGACCAAAUUCAUUUCGUACAAUUUUGCUGUGGUUCCCCCUCCAUGUCCCUAACGAUGUACCCAGAUGCCCCAGAAUAAAGGGUAGAGGCCUUCCGUUCCUCAUCCCUCACGAAACCUGCCCAAAGAGACAGGUUUAACCGGAGGAAAUGGAUGCAUGCUGUGUGUAAAGCAUUUUUAUUGACAUGAGGGUAAAAUCCUGGAAUGUUUUGCGGAAAGAUCAUAAAAUCUUCCCUUUGGAGACUUUUCAAACCGCAGCACAUUCCCAGUUGGAGAUGGUGCUAGCACGACUCUGCCUAAGGCAAGGGAAAGGCAAGAUGAGUACGAUAAGACCUAUCACUUGUGGUUGCCGAGGAGGAGGGGGAGGGAGUGGGAUGGAUAGGGAGCUUGAGGUUAAUAGAUGCCUACUAUUGCCUUUGGAAUGGAUUAGCAAUGAAAUCCUCUUGUGUAGCACUACUGGGAACUAUGUGUAGUCACAUAAUAGGAACAUGAUAAUGUGAGAAAAAGAAUGUGUACAUGUAUGUGUAACUGAGUUACCAUGCUGU
rnacentral:lncRNA from 1 species